rnacentral:RNase_P_RNA from 1 species
CGAUCUGGAUAAUUGCUAGCGUUGCUAGAGGAAAGUCCAUGCUCGCACCAUCUGAGAUGAUGGUAGUGAUUGCGCUAACGGAAAAAAUAACGUUAGGUAUGCAGGAGUGCAUAACGGCGGAACUAGUCUAAAACUAUGUCAUGAUGAUGUUCCUGAAGGUGCCACAGAGACGAGCUUGAUAGAAAUGUCAAGGUGGAACGAUGGUAAACCCCACAAGCGAGAAACCCAAAUUUGGUAGGGGAGGUCGAACGGAAGAAUUCAAUUCCAAUCGGCAUGUGAAAGCAUAGAUAAAUUAUUAUCCUAGACAAAACAUGGCUUAUAGGA